UGGUGUCCCCCAGCUCUCAUCAGACCCCUCUCUGGGUAACUUCAAGUUUCCUUGCCUGGAUUGCCCAGCAGCUUCAACUGGUCGUGAUGUACCUCCUCAUCUCCUGCUUUACACCACCACAGAGUUUCAAUCCUUGCAUUUCACCCUCAAUAUCAGGGCCUUUCUCCCUGCCCUUCCUUGCUGAGGGGACAUCAAAGCAGCACCCAAAGAGAGAUCCAUUUACCUUCUGUCAUCCACUGAGGUCCAUCCACACUUAACCUCUGGACAUUCACAUCUCACCAGCAGAAACUUCUGAGAGGGCACCAACAUUUCUCCAUGUCCUUGCUAAGCUUUCUGAGAGUGCUGCAGGACAGCGCAGAAUUUUCUCUGCAAGAGCAGCACGUUUGUUAAACAAAUUUUAAAAAUGUAAAACAAAUUGUUAAAGGUGCUUGCUCCAGCUGCCCAAACCGCAGCUGCGGACACAAUGCGUCCCGUGUGCUCCUCAUGACUUGCUUUUGGGAAGAGUGAAGGGGCAUAAAUCAGGUGCUGAGAGGAGUAGCAGGGGUGAGGAAAGGGAAAGGCAUGGCAGCAUGAGUUUUGGAACUGUGGGUGAAUGUCAGCAUGAAAUACCACGGGAACAGAAAGGGAAGACUGUGAAAAG
rnacentral:lncRNA from 1 species